AUUGAACGCUGGCGGCAUGCCUUACACAUGCAAGUCGAACGGUAACAGGUUAAGCUGACGAGUGGCGAACGGGGGAGUAAUAUAUCGGAACGUGCCCAGUCGUGGGGGAUAACUGCUCGAAAGAGCAGCUAAUACCGCAUACGACCUGAGGGUGAAAGCGGGGGAUCGCAAGACCUCGCGCGAUUGGAGCGGCCGAUAUCAGAUUAGCUAGUUGGUGGGGUAAAAGCCUACCAAGGCAACGAUCUGUAGCUGGUCUGAGAGGACGACCAGCCACACUGGGAAUGAGACACGGCCCAGACUCCUACGGGAGGCAGCAGUGGGGAAUUUUGGACAAUGGACGAAAGUCUGAUCCAGCCAUGCCGCGUGCGGGAAGAAGGCCUUCGGGUUGUAAACCGCUUUUGUCAGGGAAGAAAAGGUUCUGGUUAAUACCUGGGACUCAUGACGGUACCUGAAGAAUAAGCACCGGUUAACUACGUGCCAGCAGCCGCCGUAA
rnacentral:rRNA from 1 species